rnacentral:rRNA from 1 species
GACGAACGUUGGCGGCGUGCCUAAUACAUGCAAGUCGAGCGAAUGGAUUAAGAGCUUGCUCUUAUGAAGUUAGCGGCGGACGGGUGAGUAACACGUGGGUAACCUGCCCAUAAGACUGGGAUAACUCCGGGAAACCGGGGCUAAUACCGGAUAACAUUUUGAACCGCAUGGUUCGAAAUUGAAAGGCGGCUUCGGCUGUCACUCAUGGAUGGACCCGCGUCGCAUUAGCUAGUUGGUGAGGUAACGGCUCACCAAGGCAACGAUGCGUAGCCGACCUGAGAGGGUGAUCGGCCACACUGGGACUGAGACACGGCCCAGACUCCUACGGGAGGCAGCAGUAGGGAAUCUUCCGCAAUGGACGAAAGUCUGACGGAGCAACGCCGCGUGAGUGAUGAAGGCUUUCGGGUCGUAAAACUCUGUUGUUAGGGAAGAACAAGUGCUAGUUGAAUAAGCUGGCACCUUGACGGUACCUAACCAGAAAGCCACGGCUAACUACGUGCCAGCAGCCGCAGUAA